AGUGAACGCUGGCGGUAGGCCUAACACAUGCAAGUCGAACGGCAGCACAGGAGAGCUUGCUCUCUGGGUGGCGAGUGGCGGACGGGUGAGGAAUACAUCGGAAUCUACUCUGUCGUGGGGGAUAACGUAGGGAAACUUACGCUAAUACCGCAUACGACCUACGGGUGAAAGCAGGGGACCUUCGGGCCUUGCGCGAUUGAAUGAGCCGAUGUCGGAUUAGCUAGUUGGCGGGGUAAAGGCCCACCAAGGCGACGAGCCGUAGCUGGUCUGAGGGGAUGAUCAGCCACACUGGAACUGAGACACGGUCCAGACUCCUACGGGAGGCAGCAGUGGGGAAUAGUGGACAAUGGGCGCAAGCCUGAUCCAGCCAUACCGCGUGGGUGAAGAAGGCCUUCGGGUUGUAAAGCCCUUUUGUUGGGAAAGAAAUCCAGCUGGCUAAUACCCGGUUGGGAUGACGGUACCCAAAGAAUAAGCACCGGCUAACUUCGUGCCAGCCGCCGCAGUAA
rnacentral:rRNA from 1 species